rnacentral:rRNA from 1 species
UACAGAGGUCCCAAGCGUUGUUCGGAUUCACUGGGCGUAAAGGGUGCGUAGGUGGCGAGGUAAGUCGGAUGUGAAAGCUCGGAGCUCAACUCCGAAAUGGCAUUGGAAACUACCUUGCUCGAGGGUUGGAGGGGGGACUGGAAUUCUCGGUGUAGCAGUGAAAUGCGUAGAUAUCGAGAGGAACACCAGUGGCGAAGGCGAGUCCCUGGACAACACCUGACGCUGAGGCACGAAAGCUAGGGGAGCAAACAGG